GAUCCUGGCUCAGGACGAACGCUGGCGGCGUGCCUAACACAUGCAAGUCGAACGGAAGCAAAGAUUUCGGUUUUUGCUUUAGUGGCGAACGGGUGAGUAACGCGUGAGGAACCUGCCUUUCAGUGGGGGACAACAGUUGGAAACGACUGCUAAUACCGCAUAAUGCUUUUGGAUCGCAUGAUUUAAAAGCCAAAGAUUUAUUGCUGAAAGAUGGCCUCGCGUCUGAUUAGCUGGUUGGUGGGUAACGCU
rnacentral:rRNA from 1 species